AAUUCUUGAAGACUGAGAUAAGUAAACACCCAAAAUGAGUUUGUCCAUUCUAAGACUGUGUAGAGACAGCGAGAACUUCAUUUGCGCGGAAAAGUCGGGAACUUGGCAAGGUAAAUGAGAAUAAACUGAAGGAACUUGAGGAGAAGAAUGAGGAUCUGUAGGAAAGAGUUAGAGAAGCAGAAACUGGAAGCAUGAAAUUUAAAGGAAGCUUGUUGGUCAACGAAGUCAAGCCAAAGAACAUUGCUUUAGAAAACUCAGAGCAAUGUAGGUUUGUUCUCUUGAAAAAAUCGAUGAGUCGUCCUCAAAGGUAAAUGAAAACUUGGAGUAUAAACUGCAGACUGAAGAAGACCGAGAGCUUAAUUGACAAAGAAACCAACCUAUAGAGCAUUACUAAAGAAGCUGAGAAGAGCUCAGGAAAAUGAAAUUUGCUGGCUGAAGGAAUGAAUUAGACAUUGGUUAAUACACAAAAUGCAGAGCACUAAUCAAAGAUUAGUUGAGAAAAUAGCCAAACGCAGAGUUUAAGAGGAAGUCAAUGGAGUCUUCUUAUCAUAACAACAUUGAGGAGUUGUCACUAAAACUUCUUAUUCCGGGUAUUUAAAUGGCUUCUUCCUCCGCAACUUCUCACUUUCCAGAACACAAAGACUUAUAAACAAACCAUCCUUCACGUAUGUGUUGAAUUGAAAUGUGAAUGUGACUUCAUCAACACAAUGACUUCAAAACCCAACGACGGUCUUCCUUUCUUUUCUCACCAAUAAAAUGUAGAAAAGAAACAAAGUACACAAGAAAGACUUUUCAUUUAACGAUAUCUCCACUAGUAGUAGCUAUAACUAAAUGGGGUCAUCGUUAUUGACUUUGAAUAAGAAAUGUUCAAACACUUCAAUUAUUACAUAAUAUCUUUGCAAUAAAAUAACAAACGUUAAAGAGCCGUCGCAUUAUUAGCACAAAAAAUAUCUUUUGUAAA